rnacentral:lncRNA from 10 species
GGGCAGUGUCAUCCUUCACAUAUAGGGAUCCUGCAGCCUCUGCAGCUCCUAUGAAAGUUUUAGAGGCUGGGCAUGGUGGCUCAUGCCUGUAAUCCCAGCACUUUGGGAGGCCGAGGCAGGUGCAUUGCCUGAGCUCAGGAGUUCGAGACUAGUCUGGCCAACAUGGUGAAACCCCCUCUCUAUUAAAAAUAGAAAAUUAGUGGCGUGUAGUGGCGGGCGCCUCUAGUCCCAGCUACUUGGGAGGCUGAGGCAGGAGAAUUGCUAGAACCUGGGAGGUGGAGGUUGCUGUGAGCUGACAUUGUGCCAGUGCACUCCAGCCUGGCGCCACUCCACUCCAGCCUGGGUGACACAGCAAGGUUCUGUCUCAAAAAAAAUAAAAUAAAAUUUUAGAUUCUUGGCUGGGCACAGUGGCUCACAACUGUAAUCCUAGCACCUUGGGAGGCUGAGGCGGGUGGGUCACCUGAGCUCAGGAGUUCCAGACCAGCCCGGGCAACAUGGGGAAACCCUGUCUCUACUAAAAAUACAAAAAUUAGCCAGGCGUGGUGGCGGGCACCUGUAGUCCCAGCUACUCAGGAGGCUGUGACAUGAGAAUUGCUUGAAUUGGGGAGUUGGAGGUUGCAAUGAGCCAAGAUUGCACCACUGUACUCCAGCCUGGGUGACAGAGCGAGACUCUGUUUCAAAAGAAAAAAAAAAAAAGAAAACAAGUUUUCUUAACAUUUUUUAAGUGAAUUCUCUUUUCUGAAUCUCAUUAUCUAAAGAGUUAAUGGCCAAAGGCCAAGAGGUACUUGUUCAGUGAAUUAUAAAACGUCCUCAACUUCUGUGAGCCACAGUUUAUCUAUAAAAUGAAACUAAUACCUGUGUUACAGGUUGCCAUGAAAACUGGGUGAUGUAAUACAUGUGAAACUCUUAGCAUACGUGAUAGGCACACAGGAAGUCCUCAAUAAAUGUUAGCUUCUAUUAAUAAUACAAAUAUUUUUAUUACUACCAUAUUUGGGAGACAGUGAGUUCCCCAUUACAGGCAGUAAUCAAGCAAAGGCUGGUAGGGAAGCUUCAGAGAGUACUCAAGCACUGAACAUAUAAUUGGACCAAAUGACCUUUAAGAUACCUCCUUCCAUUUUUCAGAUUAUGGGCCUCUUAAGAGAGUAAGAGCUUGGGAAAGGGAGAAAAAAGGCAAGUUGGGGAGAAAGAGAGAGACAGAAACUGCUUUCCUACAGGCACAUAGUUCCAGAAAUUUUUUCUUUUUAGGGCGAAGAACUAAUCUCUCGAUGCCUUGCUUCCCAAAUCUUCAAGCCUCAUUCAAGAAUGGUGGGUCCGCCCGGACAGGGACUAGAGUUACAGCAGUGAUGACUGUGGCCUUGCAGUGACCCUUCAUCACUCACAAACAAAAUCUGCCUGCACUAGACGACUAUGUACUGGCUUAGAGACUAACAGUCAUAAUUCCUAUUCCAAGUGUGCAGUUCAUCACGGUGCAUGGAAGACAGGCAUCUAUCUCUAUUCCUCCCCCAAACCCUAUGACAUGACAGUAAAGGAAUUUAAAAAGAUAAAAACUAUGAAGACAACAGGAACAGAGGACACCACAGCAGGUAAGAGCCAGUUAACAACCUUUUGGGAGAUGGAAAAAGGACAGAAGAGUCAGUAGCUAAUUUGCAGAGCAGCAAAAGCUGAACCUAAGUGCCUGGAGGAUGGAGAGCGGAGAAGGAGCUGCAGGUUCUGCAAAGGCUCAGGAACUGGAAGCACCAGGUCCCGCUGCAGAUGGGAGUACCAGGUGUGGCUCAAAACUGGUGACUUUUUGAAAGUCCAAAUGGAGAACGGUUAGGAACUGGUGUUCCCUUCUCCUGCUCUGGAAGUCAAGCAACCACCCUCCUUUCCUUCACAGCAAAAGCCAGGAGGUUCACUCUCUGAAGCGCUGAGGGAACCCUGACCUCAGGACCCCAGGUGCUGCUAGGGGGAAGGUGGGCAAGAGGCAGAAUACGACGGAAUUAAAGUUAAAGCGAAUCAAUGGCACAAUGAGCCCACUGGGACCCUUCCUCAGUGUGGCCUCCAGAAUGCUGGCUGCCUGCCUGUCUCCCACAGCAAGAGACAGGGGAGUCCUCUAUAGGGAAAGUGACAAGCCUCCGUGAAAAAAAGACUCGAAGUCCUGAGGUAGAGGUUCCCGCCCCCGAAUGUAACUACCGAGUACCCUGAGGUAGAGGUUCCCCCCACUGUAACUACCGAGUACAAGCGGGCGCCUGUAGUCCCAGCUACUGGGGAGGCUGAGGCAGGAGAAUGGCGUGAACCAGGGAGGUGGAGCUUGCAGUGAGCCGAGAUCGUGCCACUGCACUCCAGCUUGGGCAACAGAGUGAGAGCCUGUCUCAGAAAAAAAAUAAAUAAAUAAGAAAAAUUAAAAGGAUUUUGAGCCUGGGAGUUUGAGGCUGCAGUGAGCUAUGAUCAUGCCACUGCACGACGCCAAGCACUCCAGCUUGGGUGACAGAACACAACCUCACCUCUUAAAAAAAAAAAAGAACUACUAAGAGCAUCAGCAUAGAUUAUUUGAAAGUAUGGAAGUAAUUAACAAAAGCAACAACCAUCGGAAUUACAAGGGGCUGCUUCUGAGGGGUGGGACUCAUAAUCCUGGGAUGCUGAGUUUUAAAACUACAAAAUAUAACUUUGAUGAAACAUAUAUUUUUAGAUAGACAAAAAAAUAAAAAGGCAAGCCACAUCAAGCGUAGUCAGCACACAAAGGUCCUGCACAGUUGCUGAAGAGACCACAACAUGUACCACAAUGAGGUGGACUUGCUUUCUCUCCCACUGCAGAUGAGUUUUAAAAUUCUAAUUCCAAAGAGAGUUUCUUCUAUUUGCAGUUAUCCUGGAGGACAGUGAUCACCUAAGCUUUUGGCAUGAUUCUCCAUGGAAUGGAGAAAGAUUUUCUUUUCUUUUUCUUUUUUUCCUUGAGACGGAGUCUUGCUCUGUCGCCCAGGCUGGAGUGCAAUGGCAUGAUCUCUG